rnacentral:sRNA from 1 species
GCCGGGCGCGGUAGCGCAUGCCUGUAAUUCCAUCGGCUCAGGAGGCUGAGGCAGGAGGAUCAUGAGUUCAAAGCCAGUCUCAGUAAAAAGCGAGGUGCUAAACAACUCAGUGAGACCCUGUCUCUA